AGGAUUCCUGGGCUGGGGACAGGGAGAGGAAGAAGAGAAAGAUCCGCCAUGCUGGAAAAAGGAGAACUAAGAUGCCACACCCGAGAAGCUCAGGACAGAGAACAUAGCCGCCAUAUUGGAGUAAGGGGAUCCCAGCCCAAGAUGGUCUGGGUAUAGGGCAGCAAAGAUGGAAAACAGUUAGGGACUCCAUCCAAUAAAGGCAAAUAAAGAGAGCCUGAAAGUAUAGCUUGGCACCUACGCAGCAAGCCACUCCUGUCUACAGUGCUCAUGAACCUUCCAGAAUCAUGGAGAAGACCUGCCGUGCAUGGCCCUUAUUGCAAACUGAAAGUGUUUCGAGGCCCAAGGUGGAAAGAAAAAAAAAAGAAGAAAGCAAACCUGGGAAACACAGAAUUCAUUCAGCCCCUUGUAGUCCCGCACUUUGGUCACAGAGGAAACAUCCCCUGACAGCCUGGUGUUCGAAUCUAAUGUGGUCAAAGCAAACUAUGGAGCCGGACCUAUGCAAAUCUCUACAGAAACUCGAGGUUUGCUUCUGCCACAUCUGGGUCUCCCGAGGUCGGAGAGGAUCGUCUUUAAUAUUCCUUGGUAGAUUCCAGACCCAGCACCUGGAAACCCUGUCUUCCCGCGGGGACACAGGUCUUGAGAACGUCGUUGCUGGUGGGCAACGGUACCUCUCCGCUCUUUAUCUUUGACCUUCACUUCUCCAGCAAUCAGCUGCUGGGCAGCGCUCACAGUUCACUCUCCAAGGCCUCGGGUUCGAAGCUGCUGCGCCAAGGUCUGAGAAGAGGUUAGGAUUUGAACUGCAGUUCGCUUAAGAAGAGUCUGACAUUCUCAGGAAAGCAGAGUCCCAAACCUGGGGAAAGGCGAAGCUACGGAAUGCUUUUCCAAUUUUGACUUUUGUUUUAAGUCAGCACCGCCACCCCAAGCCCUAAGUCUAGAAAAGAAUACUUAGAAGCCACUUCAAUCUUUCUUCCCUGUUCUUCCCACCCCCACACUGCAGGCAUCCAGACAAGAAAACACAAAUAAACCCCAGGUGGUUAAUGGUGGUGCAUCCAGGCGCUCCAUCCCCAAACACACACACACACACACACACACACACACACACACACACACACACACACACACACACACACACACACGGAGCACACCAUCCACUUGAUCCCACCCACCACCGGGGAGGGGAGGGACUGGGAACCUGAUCUCCCGGCUCCUGCCCAGUACGUUUCCCCAUCAAUAAUGUUGAUACCAUCGAAGUGCCUGCUCCCCGCCCCCGGGGCGCCGCUGCCGCCUUUUUGCCGCUUUUUGCCCGGCAUAGGAAAACGAAACCUCCUCUACUGCCCUUGUAGCCCCUGCCUGGAGCCUGGGCUGGAAAUUUCGGAAGCUGGGACACAGCCAGAGCGCUUAGGGCCCACCUCCACUUGUAGAGUGGGUGCUCAAACUGCACAGAUGGAACCUGAAAAAGAGUCAGGGGCCCACAUAAGGCCUCAAUCACAUCCCACACCAGGGUCAGACUGGGCCAUAAUUAGAAAACUUUGCGGGUAGAAGAACCAGGCCUCAGAACAGAAGGCCUUCAUGCGACCACCCCUUCCUAAAAUUGGAGCUCAAACAAAGAAGUCCGGAAACACCUUCCUUGAAAAUUUCUCUAUGGCCGCAGCCCUAGACCACCGCCCUCGGGCCAGCCAACUCACCGCGGACAAACUAGACCUCGGGAAACUGAGGCUAUACUGUGGAGGGAACAUAGACAUCCCCGCACCCCAAAGGCAGUUUGUACAAUUGCUAAGUGCCUCCACAGGGUCCGUUUCGUCUUGGUCUGAGAGGUCGCGACCCCCACGCAGCUGUCACCUCAUUUGGGGCUAUCCCCAUUCCCUAUUGGGUAUCUGUCCCUAAAUACCAGCCCCCCACCCCCCACCCCAGGAUCCUACAAGCCACAACCUCUUCGCCGUAUUUCCCAGGAGCAGCCCCCAUCCAUGGUUUGGAGGACUCGACCCUAUGGAGCGCCCUGGCCUGGAGGUGUGCAGGUUAGAAGGAACCCCAGCUGUGGCACCUCACUAUCCUUCUCUUUCCCGACCCGUUCAAAAAUAAAAAAAUAAACCCCAA
rnacentral:lncRNA from 1 species